rnacentral:rRNA from 1 species
UAGGGAAUAUUAGAAAUGGACGAAAGUCUGAUCUAGCAACACCGCGUGUGCGAAGAAGGCCUUCGGGUUGUAAAGCACUUUUUGGAAGGAUUAGGAAGGAAUGUACUUCCAGAAUAAGUCUCGGCUAACUACGUGCCAGCAGCCGCGGUAACACGUAGGAGGCAAACGUUAUCCGGAUUUACUGGGCGUAAAGCGCGUGUAGGUGGUUCUGUAAGUAGGGCGUGAAAGCUCCUGGCUCAACUGGGAGAGGCCGUUCUAAACUGCAGAGCUAGAGGAUGGUAGAGGUAUGUGGAAUUCCGGGUGUAGCGGUGGAUUGUGCAGAUAUCCGGAGGAACACCAGUGGCGCAAGCGGCCUCCUGGACCAUUCCUGACACUCAGACGCGCAAGCUAGGGUAUCAAACG